GUCGAGGGGUAACAGGAGUAGCUUGCUACUUGCUGACGACCGGCGCACGGGUGCGUAACGCGUAUACAAUCUACCUUAUACUGGGGAAUAGCCUUUGGAAACGAAGAUUAAUGCCCCAUAGUAUUAUUGAAUGGCAUCGUUUAAUAAUUAAAACUCCGGUGGUAUAAGAUGAGUAUGCGUUCUAUUAGUUAGUUGGUAAGGUAACGGCUUACCAAGACAUCGAUAGAUAGGGGUCCUGAGAGGGAGAUCCCCCACACUGGUACUGAGACACGGACCAGACUCCUACGGGAGGCAGCAGUGAGGAAUAUUGGACAAUGGGCGCAAGCCUGAUCCAGCCAUGCCGCGUGCAGGAAGACUGCCCUAUGGGUUGUAAACUGCUUUUAUAUGGGAAGAAUAAGGGGUACGUGUACUCUGAUGACGGUACCAUAAGAAUAAGCACCGGCUAACUCCGUGCCAGCAGCCGCGGUAAUACGGAGGGUGCAAGCGUUAUCCGGAAUCAUUGGGUUUAAAGGGUCCGUAGGCGGGCAUAUAAGUCAGUGGUGAAAUGCUGUGGCUCAACCAUAGCACUGCCAUUGAUACUGUAUGUCUUGAAUUAUUGUGAAGUGGUUAGAAUAUGUAGUGUAGCGGUGAAAUGCUUAGAUAUUACAUAGAAUACCGAUUGCGAAGGCAGAUCACUAACAAUAUAUUGACGCUGAUGGACGAAAGCGUAGGUAGCGAACAGGAUUAGAUACCCUGGUAGUCUACGCCGUAAACGAUGGAUACUAGUUGUUUGGCUUUCGGGCUGAGUGACUAAGCGAAAGUGAUAAGUAUC
rnacentral:rRNA from 1 species